rnacentral:rRNA from 1 species
GAAGCCUAAUGGGAUCCUGAGUACGGCGAGACACGAGGAAUCUUGUCGGAAGCAGGCGGGACCAUCCGCCAAGGCUAAAUAUAAACGAGUGAGCGAUAGUGAACCAGUACCGUGAGGGAAAGGUGAAAAGAACCGCGGGAGCGGAGUGAAAGAGAACCUGAAACCGUAUGCCUACAAGAAGUCAGAGCCCGUUAAGGGGUGAUGGCGUGCCUUUUGUAGAAUGAACCGGCGAGUUGCGACAGACUGCGAGGUUAAGGAGGAAAGACCGGAGCCGAAGCGAAAGCGAGUCUUAAUAGGGCGAAAGUAGGAUGUUGCAGACCCGAAACCGGGUGAUCUAGCCAUGAGCAGGUUGAAGUUGAGGUGAAACUCAAUGGAGGACCGAACCGACUACCGUUGAAAAGUUAGCGGAUGACUUGUGGCUAGGGGAGAAAUUCCAAUCGAACCCGGAGAUAGCUGGUUCUCCCCGAAAUAGCUUUAGGGCUAGCGUCGGAAAGAACCUUAGUGAAGGUAGAGCACUGAAUGUGUGAUGGCCCCAUCCCGGGGUACUGAAUACAAUCAAACUGCGAAUGUCAUUAAGGAUGUCCGGCAGUCAGACUGUGAGUGAUAAGGUCCAUGGUCAAGAGGGAAACAGCCCAGACCGCCAGUUAAGGUCCCAAAAUACAGGCUAAGUGGAAAAGGAUGUGGGGAUGCCCAGACAACUAGGAGGUUGGCUCAGAAGCAGCCAUCCUUUAAAGAGUGCGUAACAGCUCACUAGUCGAGUGACCCUGCGCCGAAAAUGUACCGGGGCUAAGCCUGAUACCGAAACUGCGGAUUGUAGGAAACUAUAGUGGUAGGGGAGCGUUGUAUACGAGUGGAAGCCGUACCGUGAGGAGCGGUGGAUUGUAUAGAAGUGAGAAUGCCGGUGUGAGUAGCGAGAUGUAGGUGAGAAUCCUACACACCGAAAGCCCAAGGAUUCCAGGGGAAGGUUCGUCCGCCCUGGGUAAGUCGGGACCUAACGCGAGGCCGAAAGGCGUAGUGGAUGGAAAGCAGGCGAAAGAUUCCUGCACCCGUAUAUGGAGCGAAGGAGUGACGGAGACGGAUAGUGUGACCCUCUUAAUGGAUUGAGGGCGAAGCGAAGCGGCUGGUUACCAGGCAAAUCCGGUAACCAUAAGGCUAGAGCGUGAUAGGUAAGCGAAAUCUUAGGAAAGUAGCGAAGCACAUGAUGACGGCUUCCAGGAAAAGCUUCUGGCAAUGCAUAUGCGGCCCGUACCAAAACCGACACAGGUGGGCAGGGAGAGAAUCCCGAGGUGAGCGAGAGAACUGUUGCCAAGGAACUCGGCAAAAUGACUCCGUAAGUUAGCGAGAAGGAGUGCUUAAGCAAUUAAGCCGCAGUGAAGAGGCCCAAGCGACUGUUUAACUAAAACACAGCUCUCUGCGAAGUCGCAAGACGAAGUAUAGGGGGUGACACCUGCCCGGUGCUGGAAGGUUAAGAGGAUCUGUUAAGAGCGAUCUGAAGCAGUGAUCCGAAGCCCCAGUGAACGGCGGCCGUAACUAUAACGGUCCUAAGGUAGCGAAAUUCCUUGUCAGGUAAGUUCUGACCCGCACGAAAGGUGUAACGAUUUGGGCGCUGUCUCGGCAGCAGACUCGGUGAAAUCUUAGUACCUGUGAAAAUGCAGGUUACCCGCAACUAGACGGAAAGACCCCAUGGAGCUUUACUGCAGCCUGAUAUUGAAUUCUGGUCAUACAUGUACAGGAUAGGUGGGAGACAAAGAGACGUGCACGCCAGUGUACGAGGAGUCGACGUUGGGAUACCACUCUUGUGUGACCGGGGUUCUAACCUGGUAUCGAGAACAGGUACGGGGAGAGUGUCAGGUGGGCAGUUUGACUGGGGCGGUCGCCUCCCAAAGAGUAACGGAGGC